GCUGUCUGUGAAAGGGUGAGAGGCGGCGCGGUUACAAAUGCAAGGCUUCCAUCGCCCAACCAGCCAACUCGGUGCUCCUUCCAUUCGCUCGGCGUCUACACCACCGCAUCCCCGGAACUUUCUCGGCUGCACCUGCGUGUGAGCGCCUCCCGCUUCCAGGAAGAGGAAAAUGUGGACACGGAAACCCAGGAGGAACACCAUGUGAUUCCUGAGGCAGAGAUUGGAGUUAUUCUGCCUCAAGCCAAGGAAUGCCAAGGAUCACUGGCCAGCAGCGGAAGCCAGGAGAAAGAUAUCUAUAAUUACAUAUUUGGCAGUAUUUGGUAACCAGACUGAUGGAAUUUGAAGGAAUUGGGAGUUUUCUGAAGAAAGUGGCUUCAUCAAG